ACGGCUCAGUAACACGUAGGUAACCUACCCUCAGGACUGAGAUAACCCCGGGAAACUGGGGCUAAUAUUAGAUAGAUAGAAGAUACUGGAAUGUUCUUUUAUCCAAAGCUUUUGCGCCUGAGGAUGGGCCUGCGUCCGAUUAGGUCGUUGGUGGGGUAAUGGCCCACCAAGCCUGCGAUCGGUACGGGCAGUGGAAGCUGAAGCCCGGAGUUGGGGACUGAGACAAGGCCCCAGGCCCUACGGGGCGCAGCAGGCGCGAAACCUCUGCAAUGCGGGAAACCGUGACAGGGGGAUCCCAAGUGCUCAUGCAUUGCAUGGGCUGUUCUUUGGUCUAAGUAACCAGAGGAGUAAGGGCUGGGCAAGACCGGUGCCAGCCGCCGCGGUAAUACCGGCAGCUCAAGUGGUAGCCGCGAUUAUUGGGCCUAAAACGUUCGUAGCCGGAUAAGUAAGUCUUUGGUUAAAUCCUGCGACUCAACCGUGGGAAUUCUAGAGAUACUGCUCGUCUUGAGACCGGGAGAGGUUGGAGGUACUCCUAGGGUAGGGGUGAAAUCCUGUAAUCCUAGGGGGACCACCUGUGGCGAAGGCGUCCAACUGGAACGGGUCUGACGGUGAGGGACGAAACCUAGGGGAGCGAGCCGGAUUAGAUACCCGGGUAGUCCUAGGCGUAAAUGAUGCGAGUUAAGUGUGGGGGCAUCUACGAGAUGGCCCUGUGCUGUAGGGUAGCCGUUAAACUCGCUGCCUGGGGAGUACGGUCGCAAGGCUGAAACUUAAAGGAAUUGGCGGGGGAG
rnacentral:rRNA from 1 species